rnacentral:rRNA from 1 species
CGGGUGAGUAAUGCGUGACCAACCUGCCCCAUGCUCCAGAAUAGCUCUUGGAAACGGGUGGUAAUGCUGGAUGCUCCAACUUGACGCAUGUCUUGUUGGGAAAGUGUUUAGUGGCAUGGGAUGGGGUCGCGUCCUAUCAGCUUGUAGGCGGGGUAAUGGCCCACCUAGGCUUCGACGGGUAGCCGGCCUGAGAGGGCGGACGGCCACAUUGGACUGAGAUACGGCCCAGACUCCUACGGGAGGCAGCAGAG